GACGAACGCUGGCGGCGUGCCUAAUACAUGCAAGUCGAGCGGACUUAAAAAGCUUGCUUUUUAAGUUAGCGGCGGACGGGUGAGUAACACGUGGGCAACCUGCCUGUAAGACUGGGAUAACUUCGGGAAACCGGAGCUAAUACCGGAUAAUCCUUUUCUACUCAUGUAGAAAAGCUGAAAGACGGUUUACGCUGUCACUUACAGAUGGGCCCGCGGCGCAUUAGCUAGUUGGUGAGGUAACGGCUCACCAAGGCGACGAUGCGUAGCCGACCUGAGAGGGGGAUCGGCCACACUGGGACUGAGACACGGCCCAGACUCCUACGGGAGGCAGCAGUAGGGAAUCUUCCGCAAUGGGCGAAAGUCUGACGGAGCAACGCCGCGUGAGUGAUGAAGGUUUUCGGAUCGUAAAACUCUGUUGUUAGGGAAGAACAAGUACGAGAGUAACUGCUCGUACCUUGACGGUACCUAACCAGAAAGCCACGGCUAACUACGUG
rnacentral:rRNA from 1 species